rnacentral:rRNA from 1 species
UACGGGGGGGGUAAGCGUUGUUCGGAAUUACUGGGCGUAAAGGGCGCGUAGGCGGCCUGCUAAGUCGAACGUGAAAUCCCUGGGCUCAACCCAGGAACUGCGUCCGAUACUGGUUGGCUUGAAUCCGGGAGAGGGACGUGGAAUUCCAGGUGUAGCGGUGAAAUGACGUAGAUAUCUGGAGGAACACCGGUGGCGAAGGCGACGUCCUGGACCGGCAUUGACGCUGAGGCGCGAAAGCCAGGGGAGCAAAGCGGG